GGAUCGAGAUGGGAGGCAUGAAAUAAGAGACGAGAGACGGGGAUUAGGAAUGAGAAUAAGGGACAUGAACUAAGAACAAAGAUAGAAAGGGGAUUGGGAUGAAGAAUGAGCAUUGAAAAUGGAAAAUGGAGAUGGAAAGGUGUAAUGAUAGUCUUAACAGGUGAAUUAAUUCAAUAAAAGUUGAGAUCAAUUUAACAUUCUUAUA
rnacentral:lncRNA from 1 species